AGAGUUUGAUCCUGGCUCAGGAUGAACGCUAGCUACAGGCUUAACACAUGCAAGUCGAGGGGCAGCAUGAACUUAGCUUGCUAAGUUUGAUGGCGACCGGCGCACGGGUGAGUAACACGUAUCCAACCUGCCGAUGACUCGGGGAUAGCCUUUCGAAAGAAAGAUUAAUACCCGAUGGCAUAGUUCUUCCGCAUGGUAGAACUAUUAAAGAAUUUCGGUCAUCGAUGGGGAUGCGUUCCAUUAGGUUGUUGGCGGGGUAACGGCCCACCAAGCCUUCGAUGGAUAGGGGUUCUGAGAGGAAGGUCCCCCACAUUGGAACUGAGACACGGUCCAAACUCCUACGGGAGGCAGCAGUGAGGAAUAUUGGUCAAUGGACGAGAGUCUGAACCAGCCAAGUAGCGUGAAGGAUGACUGCCCUAUGGGUUGUAAACUUCUUUUAUACGGGAAUAAAGUGAGCCACGUGUGGCUUUUUGUAUGUACCGUAUGAAUAAGGAUCGGCUAACUCCGUGCCAGCAGCCGCGGUAAUACGGAGGAUCCGAGCGUUAUCCGGAUUUAUUGGGUUUAAAGGGAGCGUAGGCGGGUUGUUAAGUCAGUUGUGAAAGUUUGCGGCUCAACCGUAAAAUUGCAGUUGAAACUGGCGACCUUGAGUGCAACAGAGGUAGGCGGAAUUCGUGGUGUAGCGGUGAAAUGCUUAGAUAUCACGAAGAACUCCGAUUGCGAAGGCAGCUCACUAGACUGCAACUGACACUGAUGCUCGAAAGUGUGGGUAUCAAACAGGAUUAGAUACCCUGGUAGUCCACACAGUAAACGAUGAAUACUCGCUGUUUGCGAUAUACAGUAAGCGGCCAAGCGAAAGCAUUAAGUAUUCCACCUGGGGAGUACGCCGGCAACGGUGAAACUCAAAGGAAUUGACGGGGGCCCGCACAAGCGGAGGAACAUGUGGUUUAAUUCGAUGAUACGCGAGGAACCUUACCCGGGCUUAAAUUGCAUUUGAAUAAUCUGGAAACAGGUUAGCCGCAAGGCAAAUGUGAAGGUGCUGCAUGGUUGUCGUCAGCUCGUGCCGUGAGGUGUCGGCUUAAGUGCCAUAACGAGCGCAACCCUUAUCUUUAGUUACUAACAGGUCAUGCUGAGGACUCUAGAGAGACUGCCGUCGUAAGAUGUGAGGAAGGUGGGGAUGACGUCAAAUCAGCACGGCCCUUACGUCCGGGGCUACACACGUGUUACAAUGGGGGGUACAGAAGGCAGCUACCUGGUGACAGGAUGCUAAUCCCAAAAACCUCUCUCAGUUCGGAUCGAAGUCUGCAACCCGACUUCGUGAAGCUGGAUUCGCUAGUAAUCGCGCAUCAGCCAUGGCGCGGUGAAUACGUUCCCGGGCCUUGUACUCACCGCCCGUCA
rnacentral:rRNA from 1 species